UACGAAGGGGGCUAGCGUUGCUCGGAAUCACUAGGCGUAAAGGGUGCGUAGGCGGGUCUUUAAGUCAGGGGUGAAAUCCUGGAGCUCAACUCCAGAACUGCCUUUGAUACUGGCGACCUUGAGUCCGGGAGAGGUGAGUGGAACUGCGAGUGUAGAGGUGAAAUACGUAGAGAUUGGGAAGAACACCAGUGGCGAAGGCGGCUAUCUGGACGGUUUCUGACGCUAAGACGCGAAAGCGUGGGGAGCAAACAGG
rnacentral:rRNA from 1 species